rnacentral:rRNA from 1 species
GAUGAACGCUGGCGGCGUGCUUAACACAUGCAAGUCGAACGGGAAUUACUUUAUUGAAGCUUCGGUCGAUUUAAUUUAAUUCUAGUGGCGGACGGGUGAGUAACGCGUGGGUAACCUGCCUUAUACAGGGGGAUAACCCGUAGAAAUGCGGACUAAUCCCCCAUAGUCCUGAGUGCUGCAUGGCAUUCAGGGGAAAGGUCAGCCGGUAGGGGAUGGGCAUGCGGCGCAUUAGCUAGUUGGCGGGGCAACGGCCCACCAAGGCGACGAUGCGUAGGGGUUCUGAGAGGAAGGUCCCCCACACUGGUACUGAGACACGGACCAG